rnacentral:rRNA from 1 species
GGGUAUGUUAAUAGCAUACUCAUUUGACGUUAGUUGCAGAAGAAGCACCGGCUAAUUCCGUGCCAGCAGCCGCGGUAAUACGGAGGGUGCGAGCGUUAAUCGGAAUUACUGGGCGUAAAGCGCAUGCAGGUGGUUUGUUAAGUCAGAUGUGAAAGCCCGGGGCUCAACCUCGGAAUUGCAUUUGAAACUGGCAAACUAGAGUACUGUAGAGGGGGGUAGAAUUUCAGGUGUAGCGGUGAAAUGCGUAGAGAUCUGAAGGAAUACCGGUGGCGAAGGCGGCCCCCUGGACAGAUACUGACACUCAGAUGCGAAAGCGUGGGGAGCAAACAGGAUUAGAUACCCUGGUAGUCCACGCCGUAAACGAUGUCUACUUGGAGGUUGUGGCCUUGAGCCGUGGCUUUCGGAGCUAACGCGUUAAGUAGACCGCCUGGGGAGUACGGUCGCAAGAUUAAAACUCAAAUGAAUUGACGGGGGCCCGCACAAGCGGUGGAGCAUGUGGUUUAAUUCGAUGCAACGCGAAGAACCUUACCUACUCUUGACAUCUACAGAAGCCAGCGGAGACGCAGGUGUGCCUUCGGGAACUGUAAGACAGGUGCUGCAUGGCUGUCGUCAGCUCGUGUUGUGAAAUGUUGGGUUAAGUCCCGCAACGAGCGCAACCCUUAUCCUUGUUUGCCAGCACUUCGGGUGGGAACUCCAGGGAGACUGCCGGUGAUAAACCGGAGGAAGGUGGGGACGACGUCAAGUCAUCAUGGCCCUUACGAGUAGGGCUACACACGUGCUACAAUGGCGCAUACAGAGGGCGGCCAACUUGCGAAAGUGAGCGAAUCCCAAAAAGUGCGUCGUAGUCCGGAUUGGAGUCUGCAACUCGACUCCAUGAAGUCGGAAUCGCUAGUAAUCGUGGAUCAGAAUGCCACGGUGAAUACGUUCCCGGGCCUUGUACACACCGCCCGUCACACCAUGGGAGUGGGCUGCAAAAGAAGUGGGUAGUUUAACCUUCGGGAGGACGCUCACCACUUUGUGGUUCAUGACUGGGGUGAAGUCGUAACAAGGUAACCG